CCUACGGGGGGCUGCAGUGAGGAAUAUUGGUCAAUGGACGCAAGCCUGAACCAGCCAAGUCGCGUGAGGGAAGACGGUCCUAUGGGUUGUAAACCUCUUUUGUCGGGGGGCAAAAGCCGCCACGCGUGUCUUUCCGCGAGUACCCUACGAAUAAGCAUCGGCUAACUCCGUGCCAGCAGCCGCGGUAAUACGGAGGAUCCGAGCGUUAUCCGGAUUUAUUGGGUUUAAAGGGUGCGUAGGUGGAUGGUUAAGUCAGUGGUGAAAGUUCGCGGCUCAACCGUAAAAUUGCAGUUGAAACUGGCAGGCUUGAGAACAGUAGAGGUAGGCGGAAUUCGUGGUGUAGCGGUGAAAUGCUUAGAUAUCACGAAGAACUCCGAUUGCGAAGGCAGUUCACUGGACUGCAACUGACACUGAGGCUCGAAAGUGUGGGGAUCAAACAGGAUUAGAUACCCGGGUAGUC
rnacentral:rRNA from 1 species